GACGAACGCUGGCGGCGUGCUUAACACAUGCAAGUCGAACGGAAAGGCCCCUUUGGGGGUACUCGAGUGGCGAACGGGUGAGUAACACGUGAGUAACCUGCCCUUGACUUCGGGAUAACUUCAGGAAACUGGGGCUAAUACCGGAUAGGAAUCCUUGCUGCAUGGUGGGGGUUGGAAAGCUUCGGCGGUUUUGGAUGGACUCGCGGCUUAUCAGCUUGUUGGUGGGGUAGUGGCUUACCAAGGCUUUGACGGGUAGCCGGCCUGAGAGGGCGACCGGCCACAGUGGGGGGGGGGGGCGGCCCAGACUCCGGCGGGGGGGAGCAGGGGGGGAGGGUGCAGAAUGGGCGGGAGGCUGAGGGAGCAACGGCGGGGGGGGGAUGACGGGCGGCGGGGUGGGAGCCGGGUUCAGCAGGGGCGAAGCUGGUGGUGACGGUACCUGCAGAAGAAGCACCGGCUAACUACGUG
rnacentral:rRNA from 1 species